rnacentral:rRNA from 1 species
AGCCUGCCCAGUGACUAAGUUAAACGGCCGCGGUACCCUAACCGUGCAAAGGUAGCGCAAUCACUUGUUCUUUAAAUGAGGACUAGUAUGAACGGCAUCACGAGGGUUAUGCUGUCUCCCUAUUCUAUUCAGUGAAACUGAUCUCCCCGUGAAGAAGCGGGGAUAAAAAUAUAAGACGAGAAGACCCCAUGGAACUUUAAACUCAGUACCAACUGCCCAAUUAAAAACCUUUUACCCCUGCAGCUAUGGUUACUAGUUUUCGGUUGGGGUGACCACGGAGUAAAAAUCAACCUCCACGAUGAAAGGAACUAACAACCUAACCUAUGAGCUACAGCUCUAAGUAUCAAUAAAUUGACUAAUUGAUCCAAUUACUUGAUCAACGAACCUAGUUACCCUGGGGAUAACAGCGCAAUCCAUUUCAAGAGCUCAUAUCGACAAAUGGGUUUACGACCUCGAUGUUGGAUCAGGGUAUCCCAGUGGCGCAGCCGCUACUAAAGGUUCGUUUGUUCAACGAUUAAA